UAUCUUCUGUCUCUCUUUCUCUCUCUCGUGUUUGGGAGGGUAUCGAUUUUUGGCCAGUAUUCAGUUGGGUACUGUUCAUGCCACGAGUGGGAAUGUGUAUCUUAGUGUUGGAACAGUGAUUUUUUCUUAACGUAGCUGUGUUUUUAAGUGAGAGGGUUCCACUGUAACCACCCUUCAAAGAGAAAAAAUGACGAAGGACAGACUUGCAGCGCUGAAGGCGGCGCAGAGCGACGAGGAUGAUGUUGGUCCCGACGACGUUGCCGUCAAUGUGGACGGCAAUGUGGGUUACAUGGACGAAUUCUUCAAUGAGGUGGAGGAGAUACGAGAGAUGAUAGAAAAGAUAUUAAACAAUGUCGAAGAAGUUAAGAAAAAGCACAGCGAUAUUCUAUCGGCGCCGCAACCGGAUGAAAAGGUUAAGCAGGAACUAGACGACAUGAUGACAGAUAUAAAGAAAACGGCAAACAGAGUAAGAGCUAAACUUAAAGUUAUUGAACAAAACAUCGAAUCGGAAGAGCAUGUCAGUAAGGCGAGCGCAGAUUUAAGGAUAAAGAAGACGCAGCACUCAACACUCAGUCGAAAAUUUGUAGAAGUUAUGACAGAGUACAACCGCACCCAAACUGAUUACCGUGAACGUUGUAAAGGAAGGAUACAAAGACAGCUCGAAAUUACCGGUCGAAAUACAACCAGUGAUGAAUUAGAAGAGAUGUUAGAAAAGGGGAAUCCAGCAGUCUUCACACAAGGGAUUAUUAUGGAAACGCAGCAAGCAAAACAAACUUUAGCAGAUAUAGAAGCCCGUCACAACGACAUCAUCAAGUUGGAAAAUUCCAUAAGAGAACUUCAUGACAUGUUUAUGGACAUGGCCAUGUUAGUGGAGAGUCAGGGGGAGAUGAUUGAUAGGAUUGAAUAUCACGUAGAUCAGUCCGUCGAAUAUGUCGGCAAAGCUAUGGAGGACACUAAAAAGGCACUUAAGUAUCAAAGCAAAGCACGUAAGAAGAAGAUCAUGAUCAUGGUCUGUGUCUCGGUUCUCUGUGUUGUCCUGAGUCUGAGCGGCGCCUCCUACCUCGGCCUAAUUUAACCUUCUACUACUUCGUUGUAAUUAAAUUAAUAACUCUACUACCCUCUACUGGUAACGAGCCUCCAGUACAUGCUAGAUUUUCUUCUUCUUCAUUGAAAGGCGCGUUGUCUCUAUCUUUCCUGGUGUCCCCGUCUUGUGUCUUGUACAUAGUGUAGUCAAUCUCAAUGGUUAUUAGAUCUUGUUAUCUCUCCGUGCUGGACAUCCUGGAAGUUUCAAGACAUCUGGAAGCAGCUGAUUUUUUUCUACCAAGUUAAUAUGGCAACUUCAUGGAUCUGGCUGGUUUAUGCAUCUUCCAAAUGCUGAUAUGAAUAUGCGUUCGAGAAUCAUUUUAUAGUUAUAAUCGGAAAUUGUCAUUAUAAAUAAGAGUGCUGGCUUUAUGAAGGUCGGUCAGUCAGUCAGUCAUCAAAACUAGGACGAUUAAAUUUGUUCGAGCCUUGUAUUCACUUUUAUACAGUAUUACUACAACCGUUAAAGAAAGCCAUUUGUAAUUAAACAAAACCCAAAAUAACAAAAGACUGAAUCCUGUCAUUUGCACAUUCUGGAUUCUCCUGUUGAUGCUUAUAAUUUUCCUUGUUAAUAAAAACUCGAUCCUGUCCUGGAGAAGAUUAUGUGGCCCAGAAAAAGGAUGUGCAGUGCAGAGAGAACAAAAGAGAAAGAGAGAGUGUGAACUGCAGGUGGCUCCCCGCCAUAUGCGGUCAGCAAGGCAAUCAAGGUUCAUAUCUCAUAGAUGCUGUAUGUCUCAUCUUUCCCAUAGUGGUGUAGGUAUCACUCUAAAAGUGGUCCUCCACCAGGACUACCAAGAAGUAUUUCCCAACAUCGAAUGACUUUCCCAAAGUGUCACUCUACUUUGUUAAAAACAUUUGGAUUAUGAUCAUUCAUGACCUGGCUAUACUAGAGAGAUCAAAUCAAAUACUGAUCAAAGGCUUGUAUUGAAUUAUUAUUAUUGUUGCAGCAGAAGUUAUCAUUCUUAAUAGUUGACUAUGAUACAGUUCCAUAAUCUAUGUGCAUUACUGCUGAUUCUGUAACUUAGGCAAAUUAUCCAAAGUAAACUAGACACUGGUGCUUGACCGUACAGUAGUCAUUACAGUAGUCAUUAAAAGCUCCGGGACUUGAAGUGUAUGACGAUAAAAAAUAAAAAAAAUAAAAAAAAGAGAGAGAGAGAGACCUGUUGCUGGCCGAAUGUGAGUGGCAUUAUAAUAAUUAUAAUUAAUGAUAAUUGAGUAAUGAUAUAUUAAUAAUAAUUGCAGUAUGGGAAGUAGAAGACUAAUAUUUUCAGCUUUAACAUUCUAAGGUCUGUAGUUAAUGUUGAGAUUGAUGCACCAUCAUCAUUUUGUUCCUGUUUUUACACUGUAGAUGGCAUUGUAUAAAAUGUAUUUAUUGUUUGUAAAAUAUGAGAUUUUUUUGACUGGGCCGUGUUAGUUAAUUGUUUGUUGAAAAUGUUGAAAAUAGUGAUUGCCCCUACAGCUCUUCAUGAAACUGAAGCUUCAUGUGUUUCAACGACCAUUGUCUGUGGUAGUCUAUAGUAUUGCUGGGAGACCUCUGAACAUUCCGUUAGUAGUCAGUCAGUCAGUGAGUCAGUCACUUUGUGUCUUUCGAGAUACAGCUAGGUGUUGACAGAAAACAAGUCAAGCUCACAUGUCUAAGGUUAAAUUCUUCCAUGAGAAAGAGCAGCAAAUUUCAAUGAGAGCAUAGUUUUACAUGAAAUUUUUGCCUUUAAUUGGUACUUCAGAACACACUGUUAGGCUUACACCCGUUCACUUAGAUUAGAUCUGGUUAACCGUUCAGAAUCACUGUAACAUGAGCUAUUUAGAAGGGUCUCCCAGCUUACAAUUUGUUUGAAUUAGAUUUUUAAAAUUUUACCUUUUUAUGAUCAUGUUGGCAGUUGACCAAUAGGUAAGGCUGGCGUUUGUGGGGGAGGGGGGCAUAUUUACAGAGGUGGAUUUAUCUCUGAAUUUGAGGGAAUUCUGAUUUAUGUGCCAGAGACACUGCCUGCGACUGUUACUAAUAUUGCUACGUAUUGUGAUACUUGACUAAGAAACAGAAGAAAAAAAUCUGAAUUUCAAAUGUUGACUGUCAGUUUUAAUGGUAAGGUUUUCUCCCGAAAUUACUACUGUACAAGCCUUUGUCCCUGAACCACAAAGCACUUUUCCCUCUACAAGUGGCCUAUACUUUGGAAGCAUUUUAUAAAAUUGAAGUAAGGUCACUGACAAGACUUGGUUAGGAAAAAACUUUGUUAUAGUAUUAAAUUCAUAUUGAAUUUUGCUGGAAAUGCCUUUCUCUGUGGUAUCUCUGAUUGUCUUCUUCAUAUGUGGCAUAAUUGAUGACCUUGUCCUGGCAGCUGGGAGAGGUGUUUCUUCUUUUGUUACUAUUUGUAGUAGUUUCUUAAUAAAUAUAUAUAUCAGUCUACCACAGGGAACCAAGCGUCAAGAAAUCAGUACCAACCAUUCUUUCUUUUUUUCUUUUGUCACAAAAUCAUUAACUGAACUCUUUUGGGAACAGGUGGAAGGUGCAAAGUUGGUUUCUUGACGCAACUAGUUGUUACUCUUAUCUCAAAAGAUGCAAAAGGUUUCCUCCAUUGUAGCGUGAACUGAUUAGUUAGAGCAAUAAUACAUUUUAACAUUCAUCAACCAAUGCAUAUCCUAGAUUUACUCUCCUAAAAGUGAUAUAAUGUCCAUUGGAAAGAUAAGUCCUCUUUGAUAUUGCAUUUACUCUUAGAAUUUUUAGAAGAGUUUACCAUACAGUUUGAUUGCAAUGUACUAACUUCUUGUAUGUCUGUGUUCAUGGAACAUUUCAUUGGUCAUUAUAUCCCGCCAGAAUUGUAAGUAGGACCUUCACUGUUGAGAUGCACAUUGGUAGCAUAUAAUAUUCUGUAAUCAUGUUGUAGGAUAUAAAGCAAAAGAUAACUUUUUGAAUUCACUGCCAAGCUCACAACACAAAGUCAUUACGGAAAAAUAAUUGAGUGAUCAGCACGCUAUUGUUGUGUGCAUUGUUGAGAAUGGCUACUUGUUAAGGGCUUCGUUUGUGGCCUAGUGGCUAUACUCGCUUUGCAUAACCUAUUCAAGCAAAAAAGUGAAUGAAAAAAGACAAAAAUCUAAGGAACAUAAAACCAUGGACUGUUUUUUAUAGGAGGAAUCACUUCAAGGAAUCUUAUUAUAUCCCAAAUUGGGAAUUUUUGAAUGUAGUUAUACAGUAAUCGUAUUUGAAAGAGGUGUGUCAAGGUAGCACUCAGCCGCCGCAGCAGUGUUAUCCCCGACAUUAAUGUUGGCGUGUCUCUCUUGAGCUGCUUCGUGCAAAGCCCAGUAGGUCAACUUACUGAUCAUACUAUGCAUUUUUGUGUUUUUCAAAUGUUAUAAAAAAAACCCUUUUCCUCUUAAUGUCAGUUGCCCUUUUUUUAGCCUAGAGUAAAUAGGUAAGAGUAGAGAAUGUCGCCCCUUUGCAGUUUCUGAUUAAUGGAAAUAUGUGAUCAGUGAUUCUGAGCCUCUAGUUAAAAGUAAUCUUCAACUAGUCUCAUUUUUGCUUCGUUUAUUGAAAGGAAAAUGGGCCUUUUUGAAAAAGAGAGCUAAACUUGGAAACUGUUACUGUCCCUUUCUUCUUAAGUAACUGUCGAUUUGUUAUCUUACGCUCGUAGGAAACUACUAGUCAAAGUCUCUGUUGACAGAAGACUGCUGCUUUCAAUACGACAUUUGCACUGAGUUGCGUUCUGGAGGCAGUGUACCCAGUAGAACUGAUAGUUUCAAAGUGAAACUAAAGUAACCUAAAACGUUUAUCCAAGGUAAUUCUCAAGUAAUGUGACGUGAAAAAAAGAAGGCUCAUUUUCUUUUAAUAAUAACAAGCAAGAGGGAGAGAAAGUGAGAGAAUCUGAGUGGAAGAAACUGUCAUAAGAAUUGUUACCAUACCUCAAGGCUCAAAAGUGUCAUAUUCAUGUCACCUGUUAAUAAACUCAUUUCCUUAAGUAAUGUCAAUAGUAUGUUGAAUCGUAGCCUAUUGAAGAAGAUUAAGCUUGAGAGUAACGAUGAGCCUUUUUAUCCUUUCCAGUGGGCACAUUUUUAUAUCCAGUUAGUAGGAUGUUUGUACCUUGUGUUAGGAGGCUAUAGAUACUUCAGAACAUAUGUAAAAGUCAUUGAUAAUGGAUUUUUUUAAUUGAAACAUUUUCUGACUUCGUUGUUGAAUGAUCAUUAUCAUAAUUCAGUAUGAAGAUUAGCAAGGACCUGGAUAUGAUUCUUUUUCUUGUUAGUUAUUGGGCCACAAUUCAUAUAAAAACUAAAAUGUAUUGCACACCGUAAUAAAAAAAAAUGUCUGACAUUUCAGUGGAUUAUCUCAAUUUAACUACUAUUCACAAGCAAAGGAACAUCAAAAUGACUUCUGACCAAUCUCCCAAAUAGACCGCAUUAUAAUGAAGACCAACAAAGGCUCCAGAUGCCAAAUCCAACAUAGCUAAUAAUAACACACCAUUACAAGAAAUCGUAACACGUCCAGUUCUUGCUUCUUUUUCAUACCCGAUCUUGUGUUGUGAUGAUCAGCUAUUGUACGUGUGUGUGUCAGUUGUUUCCCAAUUUCAUGCGACCGUUCCAACCCACUGCUCGGGGGACCCCCUCUGUUUGGUAUUGUGAUAGAGAUGUGUGUGUGUGUGUCUACUGAUAAAUGGAUCAUGUUACAAUAUGUGAUUUAGAUGGAAAAGCCUUAAGUUUCUUAGAGGUGAUUUUGUAAGACUGAGAACAUAUUAUUUUCUAAUACAAGAAUUGAUUUUGCUUCUGUCUCCUUCUUUUAGCUGGACACAAAUUCAAGUUAGGAUGAUAACCAUUUUUUUCUCUUAUUUUGUAUAGUUUUCUAUAACUAGCCAUUUGUGAAUUUCAGUCUUAAGCGUCAAGAGACCGCCAAGUAUUGUGAACACAUUAGUUUACCACCUUAGGCUUAGCUCACUGAUGUGUUGAUUUUGUAUGCAUUUAUUUUUUAACUGCAGGUAGCACAAACAUCACUCCCUUUUUGAAUACAGUGUAUUAUUAGACAUUUAUAAUAAAAAUGUACAUACCAGGAAGAUAUUUAGGGUCUCCUCCCACCAACUUGUUAAAAAGUAUGAGGUUUCGACCAAGAAUCUAAGAAUUGCACUGAAACACUUUUAUAAAAUAUUAUUUUAAGUAAUUCAUGUAAUAAUACUUCAAAGACUGUAUCUGAUCACUAAGACACUUGAGAUAAACCAUAAGUACUUUCUUGGAAUGUUAUAUGAAAUUUUCAUGACUUGUUUGUUUCAUAAACUCUUGUAACCCCCAGCAUUAGUUUGGGAUGGCCAUUCUACUCUGCGAUUCAAGUCUUUACCAUGUACAUUCCAAGCUUACAAGUUACAAAGUGAAUAUAGUUGAUAAGCAAUAUA